GGGAACUAGAGAGUGAGAUACAAAGUAUUUUAAGGGAUGUGAGACCUUGUGAUCAGUAAAUAUUUGUGUACUAAGAUUUCACAUAGAUUUAUAGGGAAGGCUCUCACUUAGGUUGUAGCUGGACUGAAGAUGCAGAAGGAAAUAUUGAGAUAAAAGUGGCACACCACUGAGUUUCUUGGCUUGCUACCCUGGAGAAGAGCCUCAUUACCAGCCUUUUCUUGGGGCAUUCGGGUCAAGGUUGUUUCAAAUGAAGUCACAGGAGUCCCAAAGAGUGCACAGAUGCAGAUGCUAAAGAGGAGAUCUGAAGCACAGUGGAUAAAUCCAUCACAGUUCAAGCUGCGAAAAUGUUAACUCCAGGAAUAUUGUCUGCAGUUUUGGAAAGCCAAAGAUUUUCAGGCUAGAUAUGAAUCAUGUUUUCCCAUAUGCAUAGAACAAGCCACGGAGCAGUUUCUGCAUCAAGUCCAGAGCAACUAUUUGAACCCCAGCAACUUUUCAGAAAGUCAGCUGCAAAUUCAAUCUGCAAGUGACAGCAAGUCUACACCAUCCAUGCAUAAACUGACCUUGGCAUUGGAUUCUGAUAUGAAUUUCUUUAUCCUCAGCUCCAGAACAUAAGCUGUCCUGCUUCUUUAUUUUUUUUCCCACAGACUGUUAAACUAAGAAGAUAUUAGCUAAUGGAAAAUUUCUUAUUUUUUUUCUCCAUCAGUUUAAGUGUUGUCACCCUACCUCUAGUCCCUCCUCCCCCAGUAAUCUUGUUAUUAUAUGCAUAUCUAAUCCAUUAAUUCAUUUCAUUUAUAAGAAAAGAUAAAAACACAAAAAGAUUAAAAUGAUGUUGUCUGCCGCUCCCAUCCCAACACAUGCACAGUCCAAGUUCUUAUACCAAAUCUUACUUCUCUGUUCAUAGAAACAUAUAAUAGAAUCAAAGAAUCAUAGAAUCAUAGAAUUGUUAGAGAGGGAAAAGACCUCUGAGACCAUCAAGCCCAACCAUCAAUCCAUCACCACCAUGCCCACUAAAGCACAUCCCUAUAUAGAAUCGUAGAAUCAUAGAAUAGUAACAGUUCUGGAUCACAACAGUUUUCACUGUAUUUUGCAGCUCUUACUGCCAACUUGCUAUCAGAGAAUACUCUCAUAACUGCAUAUGAGGUGACUUCUAGCUGUGCUCCAUGAUCUGAUUCUUACUAUGUAAGCCACCGAUGCAGUCGUGUCUUGUGAGAUUACUGCAAGAUAAGACAAAGGCCAUCAAAGCAGAAUGUGUUAUUAAUUAGUAAUAAGAUAACUACAGUGAAUUAAAAUGGGCUGGAAGAAGUCUUUCAUUCUACAUUGAACCCUUCUUUUGAAAUAUAGGAUGGUUUCCUUACAGGGAAAACAAUAAGAAAAAAAUAAAUCAAAAUAAACAUAUGUUAAUUAUACUCCU
rnacentral:lncRNA from 1 species